GGAUGUGAGGGCAAACUGACUGUGACAUCUGUUACCCCUUUAAUCUCCAGGGUUGAUUUAGUGAUCUGGAUGUCUAGGUAGGGGUCCCUUUCCUCCCUCACNACUCCAUGUAUGACCCUCCCAGUGCUUUGCACUUGAUCAAAAACAUGACCUCUUCUGGAUGGAGGAGGACCCAUCUUCAUCAGGGGUCUAUGAGUAGCUGCCUUCCUCUGCUAGGACCUCCAAACAAGCUCUCAAGAAGCAUUUUUAGACCAAACUACUUAAAAUGAGUCUGGUAUGAUAAAUUCCAAUAUUAUCCAGUUGGCAUGCAAUAGGAAAAUAUU
rnacentral:snRNA from 1 species